rnacentral:rRNA from 1 species
UACGAAGGUGGCAAGCGUUGUUCGGAUUUACUGGGCGUACAGGGAGCGUAGGCGGUUGGAUAAGCCCUCCGUGAAAUCUCCAGGCUUAACCUGGAAAGUGCAGAGGGGACUGUUCAGCUAGAGGAUGGGAGAGGAGCGCGGAAUUCCCGGUGUAGCGGUGAAAUGCGUAGAUAUCUGGAGGAACACCGGUGGCGAAGGCGGCAUUCUGGACUAUUUCUGACACUGAUGAACGAAAGCCAGGGGAGCAAACGGG